rnacentral:rRNA from 1 species
AUGAAUGCCUUAAGUUGGAACUGCCGGGGGGGAGGGAACUCCCGGACAGUUCGAGAUCUCGCGAUGAUGGUGCAGUCGCAUUCCCCCUGUUUUGUUUUUCUAUGUGAGACUAUGCAAAAAGCAAGUAAGAUGAGAAGGAUUAGAAGACGCCUUGGUCUUCAGGGCUAUGAAGGUGUUGACAGUAAUGGUAUGAGUGGUGGUUUGGCUUUAUACUGGCAUGAAUCAUGUCAAGUUACAUUACUAGGAAAACAUGACCGAUAUAUUGAUGUUGCCGUGAAAACAGAAGCUAAUGGUGAACAGUGGCGACUAACUGGUAUUUAUGGAGAGCCAAGAGUCGAAAACCGUCAGCAUAUGUGGGAAAAAUUGCAGGGUCUAAGAGCGGUGUCUGAUUUGCCUUGGCUUGUUAUUGGCGAUUUUAAUGAAGCAGUGUGGGGCUUUGAGCAUUUUUCUCUCACACCUAGGCCUGAACUACAAAUGAUAGCUUUUCGAGAUGCUCUUAUGUUCUGUGAGUUGAUUGAUCUUGGGUUUGUAGGUGUUCCAUAUACCUAUGAUAAUUUUCAUUCUGGAUCGGCAAAUGUGAGUGUUCGUCUUGAUCGAGCAGUUGCAUCAAAUUCUUGGAGGAACUUGUUUGCUUUUCACACGGUGUAUCAUCUUGUUUCACCAAGAUCUGACCAUGUGCCCUUGCUGCUCAAAGGCAGGGCUGAUUCACAUGUUCCUAAAACUACUGGUCAGCGUUAUGAAAUUUUCUAG